UACGGGGGGGGCAAGCGUUGUUCGGAAUUACUGGGCGUAAAGGGCUCGUAGGCGGCCCACUAAGUCAGACGUGAAAUCCCUCGGCUUAACCGGGGAACUGCGUCUGAUACUGGAGGGCUUGAGUUCGGGAGAGGGAUGCGGAAUUCCAGGUGUAGCGGUGAAAUGCGUAGAUAUCUGGAGGAACACCGGUGGCGAAGGCGGCAUCCUGGACCAUUACUGACGCUGAGGAGCGAAAGCCAGGGGAGCAAACGGG
rnacentral:rRNA from 1 species